rnacentral:siRNA from 1 species
CCAAGGAUGUUUUCAUUAAUCAA